GACGAACGCUGGCGGCGUGCCUAACACAUGCAAGUCGAACGAAGCAUUUGAUUGGAUCUCUUCGGAGUGAAGCUCUUAUGACUUAGUGGCGGACGGGUGAGUAACGCGUGAGUAACCUGCCUUUCAGAGGGGGAUAACAGUUGGAAACGUCUGCUAAUACCGCAUAAUGUGACGGAAUCGCAUGAUUCUGUUACCAAAGCUGAGGCGCUGAAAGAUGGACUCGCGUCUGAUUAGAUAGUUGGUGAGGUAACGGCUCACCAAGUCGACGAUCAGUAGCCGGACUGAGAGGUUGAACGGCCGCAUUGGGACCGAGACACGGCCCAG
rnacentral:rRNA from 1 species